rnacentral:rRNA from 1 species
GACGAACGCUGGCGGCGUGCCUAAUACAUGCAAGUAGAACGCUGAAGGAGGAGCUUGCUCUUCUGGAUGAGUUGCGAACGGGUGAGUAACGCGUAGGUAACCUGCCUGGUAGCGGGGGAUAACUAUUGGAAACGAUAGCUAAUACCGCAUAACAGUAGAUGUUGCAUGACAUUUGCUUAAAAGGUGCAAUUGCACCACUACCAGAUGGACCUGCGUUGUAUUAGCUAGUUGGUGGGGUAACGGCUCACCAAGGCGACGAUACAUAGCCGACCUGAGAGGGGGAUCGGCCACACUGGGACUGAGACACGGCCCAGACUCCUACGGGAGGCAGCAGUAGGGAAUCUUCGGCAAUGGACGGAAGUCUGACCGAGCAACGCCGCGGGAGUGAAGAAGGGUGUCGGAUCGUAAAGCUCUGUUGUAAGAGAAGAACGAGUGUGAGAGUGGAAAGUUCACACUGUGACGGUAGCUUACCAGAAAGGGACGGCUAACUACGUG